rnacentral:rRNA from 1 species
GUAGGUGGCAAGCGUUGUCCGGAAUUAUUGGGCGUAAAGCGCGCGCAGGCGGUUUUUAAGUCUGAUGUGAAAGCCCACGGCUCAACCGUGGAGGGUCAUUGGAAACUGGGAACUUGAGUACAGAAGAGGAAAGCGGAAUUCCACGUGUAGCGGUGAAAUGCGUAGAGAUGUGGAGGAACACCAGUGGCGAAGGCGGCUUUCUGGUCUGUAACUGACGCUGAGGCGCGAAAGCGUGGGGAGCAAACAGGGAUUAGAUACCCUGGUAGUCCACGCCGUAAACGAUGAGUGCUAAGUGUUAGGGGGUUUCCCGCCCCUUAGUGCUGCAGCUAACGCAUUAAGCACUCGCCUGGGGAGUACGCCGCAAGGCUG